rnacentral:rRNA from 1 species
UGGGGAAUAUUGCACAAUGGGCGCAAGCCUGAUGCAGCCAUGCCGCGUGUGUGAAGAAGGCCUUCGGGUUGUAAAGCACUUUCAGCGAGGAGGAAGGUGGUGAGCUUAAUACGCUCAUCAAUUGACGUUACUCGCAGAAGAAGCACCGGCUAACUCCGUGCCAGCAGCCGCGGUAAUACGGAGGGUGCAAGCGUUAAUCGGAAUUACUGGGCGUAAAGCGCACGCAGGCGGUUUGUUAAGUCAGAUGUGAAAUCCCCGGGCUCAACCUGGGAACUGCAUUUGAAACUGGCAAGCUAGAGUCUCGUAGAGGGGGGUAGAAUUCCAGGUGUAGCGGUGAAAUGCGUAGAGAUCUGGAGGAAUACCGGUGGCGAAGGCGGCCCCCCUGGACGAAGACUGACGCUCAGGUGCGAAAGCGUGGGGCAGCAAACAGGAUUAGAUACCCUGGUAGUCCACGCUGUAAACGAUGUCGAUUUGGAGGUUGUGCCCUUGAGGCGUGGNUUCCGGAGCUAACGCGUUAAAUCGACCGCC